GAGUACCUUCCAUCAAGGCAGAAGGGGAAGGUCGGUCGGGACGCUGAGGUGGCCUGCAGCUGUCUCAUCGGUGCUCGUGGGCUUCGCUCGUUCCGUGCCUCGUCGCUCCCUGGAAGGGGAGGGGGCUUCGACGCCGAGCAGGAGCCGCCGCCGCCGUAGUCCCGGGUUCGAAGUCGCUAAGACUUCUCUCAAACUUGUGUGCUGAGGAGACUCAGAUGUUGGCCUCAGCUCCUAGGCUGAACUCAGCAGAUCGGCCCAUGAAAACUUCUGUAUUGAGACAAAGGAAAGGAUCUAUCAGAAAGCAACAUCUAUUAUCCUGGGCGUGGCAGCAAGGAAGAGGACAGGUGGUGGAAAUCCUGCAAUCUGAAAAGCAGACUGAAAGGUGACAAAGAAGCUGAAGAUGGGUGGUGGAGAGAGGUAUAACAUUCCAGCCCCUCAGUCUAGAAAUGUUAGUAAGAACCAACAACAGCUUAGUAGACAGAAGACCAAGGAUCAGAAUUCCCAGAUGAAGAUUGUUCAUAAGAAAAAGGAAAGAGGACAUACUUAUAAUUCAUCAGCAGCUGCAUGGCAGGCCAUGCAAAGUGGGGGGAAGAACAAAAAUUUUCCAAAUAAUCAAAACUGGAACUCUAGCUUAUCAAGUCCCACCUUACUUUUUAAGUCUCAAACUAAUCAGAACUAUGCUGGAGCCAAAUUUAGUGAGCCGCCAUCACCAAGUGUUCUUCCUAAACCACCAAGCCACUGGGUUCCUGUUUCCUUUAAUCCUUCUGAUAAAGAAAUAAUGACAUUUCAACUUAAAACGUUACUUAAAGUACAGGUGUAAAAUGAGAUAAAGUAUUAUGUGUUUAAAUUUAGUCAUAUUUAAGGAUAAUUGGCAAUUGUCUCAGACCAAAUUCACUAGGGAAUUUAAUCUGUAAAACUGCUAAUUAAUGUAGAAAAUAUAAUCAGACUUAACUGUUUUGUGUGUUAUGUGCACUGUGAUGGUAGAAUCAGUGCAAGUUAAAAUAACUAAAUUAUUGAUAAUUGUACUUCAUAUCAAUACUAAGUGUUCUCAAUUGAGUAACCAUUCAAGUGAAACCAGUCAAGUUUAGAUUUGGGGAAUGGUAAAGGAAUCAACUUUUUCUAUUGCCUGUUGGGGGAAAAUAGUAAUUUAAGAUUAUCAUUCACGGAUCAGCAGAGUGACUUGUUGAGAUCUGGCAAAUAUGAUUGUAAGCAUCCAGUUAAGACAUACAGGGGUUGAAAACUAGCUGAAUAUUUGAAAGUUUAAUGUCCUAAACCAGUAAUAUGCCAACAAUCUGAUGCACUGCCAAAAGAAAAUGUGAAUUUUUUUUAGAGUAUAGUUGUAUUUUAGUGAACUGUAUGGUUGGGAAUGCGGAAAGGGCACUAGGGGCUAUUUAGAAUGAAACAGUGUACCCCAUUGUCCCUGUAACUGACAUGCAGUGGAUAGGUGUCUGCCAACAAAUGCACCGAAACCAUUUUAUAUAGAAAUAGUAUUCGGUGUUCACCGAGUAGCUUUCAGAAUACAUUUUAGUAUUAUGGCACUGCACAAGCUAUUCUUACAGUGAUCUGGCUUCAAAUCAUCCCUGCAAAGCUUGUUUAAAGUUGGGAGCUAUAUAAUGUGAAAGUUUUACGUACCUAGGAAAGAGCCAUGUAAAUAUAUGUAAUAAACUUGUAGCAUAUGUAAAGUUUUGUUGGCGUUUAUCCUACAAAAAUAGAAUAUUUUAGUAUGAAUUUGCUGAAUGUAAGACAUGGACUCUUUUUAUACUAUGGCCUAAUUUUAAAGGUCCAAAAGAACCUUGUUUUUAAAGUUUGCCCUUGUGCUAAAGUGCCACUGUAUGUAUACUAUAAUUGAUCUUGCUGUAAACUAUAUUUCAAAGUAAAUCCUAGUGUAAGAAGUUUUAUAUAACUGAAAAGGUAGGUUUUAAGCUGCUAAAACACUUCCUAUUUUUGAGAUAUGUGAAAUGCAGUAUGGGAUUAUUUUAAUUUCUUAAGCCCAAAGAUUAACUAUUAAGGGGUUCCUCUUACCUUAAAAGAUUAAUUUUGGCUUUCAACAAUUUGUGUAACCUAUGAGUAUAGUGUACAAUGCCAGUGGGGUUUUUUUUUGGUCAACAGGUACAACCCAGGGGACCACUCAUUGCAAAAGAUGCAAUUUCUUGCCUAAUACCAUGAUAACAUGUUUUGCUUACCUUAAAGAUAAGCGCUAAUUGUAACAGCCAACUCAGUAGUAAACUAAAAGGAAAGUGUGUGUGUGGGGGGUCUAUUUAGAAUGAGUGUAGGUGCCCUCUUCUCUCAUUUGGCAGCUUUUUUGAUACUUUUAAGCAGAAUGGGUAAGUUGUAUUUCUCCAAAUUCAGGUGAGAUGAUAUUGCCCAUAUCAAAUAAUGAUAAAAGACAAGUUUAUAUAAUAGUACUUAAUGUACAUACAGGAAUUUGAAGCAUGAAAUUAAAAAAUAAAAUUGCUUUUUCCCGUG